ACUGAGCGGCGGACGGGUGAGUAACGCGUGGGUAACCUGCCUCAUACAGGGGGAUAACAGUUAGAAACGGCUGUUAAUACCGCAUAAGCGCACAGUACCGCAUGGUACGGUGUGAAAAACUCCGGUGGUAUGAGAUGGACCCGCGUCUGAUUAGGUAGUUGGUGGGGUAACGGCCUACCAAGCCGACGAUCAGUAGCCGACCUGAGAGGGUGACCGGCCACAUUGGGACUGAGACACGGCCCAA
rnacentral:rRNA from 1 species